CAAACGGAAAAAUGUUUUUAACAUUUUUACUGCAACUAAACAUCUUUUUUUAACGAUUUUUCAACGGAUUAUAUUUUAAAAAGGAAAGAAAUAAGGUUGUAUCGUAGAAAAUCGUCCAUUACAAGACAGAUGCGUUAAGCCACUAUGCGACGUGACCAUGAGAAGGACGCAGUGCUAAGGAUAAACAAAUAUCAUAAUAACUUCUGUUUGCGAUAUUGUACCACUCUGAAAAUUAGUACAUUUUGUUAUACGAGUAUGAGGAAUUUUUUGAUAUUGAAAUUAUUUUCAACAGAUAAGACAUUUUUUAGUUAUGGAAGGUAGAACAGAGUCAUAUGCAGGUAUCGUCUUAAAAUCAGUCAAACGUGUCUGAAUCUCCUUCAACAAGCGUAAAAUUAAUAUAAGUUCUGAUACAAAACUAAACAAUGGACUAGAGUUAAUCGUUUAAAAGCAGCUACAAAAUAAUUUUCUGAGUCUUAUACCACAAUGAAGAAGAAUUCAUAUAAAGUAGACAUUUUUACAACAGUAGUGUCAAUUAUAAACAGUAAAAUUCACCAUAAAUCCAUAUAAAAUAAGUAUUUUUUCCUAAUCUUGCCUUUACUGUAAAAUAAUGAAACAUUUAAGAACAUAAUUAGAGAAAAAGCGCCAAAGUCAGACAGGCUCCCAGCUUAUUUCACGAAAGAAGUGUUGCAGAGUAGCGUUAAUUGGGAUAAAUACUUCACAGUCUUGUCAUCAACCCGUGGUAUUUUUAUUACUCAGUUCUAGUUUCUCAUCUAUGAAAAAUAAGAGUUCGUUUCUCAUUACUGACAUGCAGUAGAAGAAUGAAAUUAACGGAUUACUCAUUUUGCUAACCAUUUCUGACAUACAAUAAUUGACGAUGCCACAUUGUUCCAAAAACAUUCUUUUUUCCUAAUCGGACUAUCACGCGUUUCCAAAAAUUGAAAGUUGUGACAGAUGAUGGAAGUAGACAAAAGAAGAAACUACCAUGGCCUCAGAAUCUACAGCUAGAGCCUUAGAAUCUACGAGAGAGAUGAUGAACUGGAAAAAGUAGCGAAAAUAUAAACUACUUUAAUGAGGUUAUCACACUGAAAAUGAUGCUAUCUGCAUGUUUUAUGGCAAAAAGUAGUUUUCAGAUUGCCGGGUGAACUUUAAGUGAGAUGUUUACAGUUCACUGAUUGGGCCCAUGUUCAGAAGUACAGGAAGAUGAAUAUACUUGCAACUUUUGCAAACAUUUUCAUUCCUCAAUACAUAGCAUGUUUAAAUAAAUCAUUUUAUGCAAAAAUUUGUUCUCUUUUUCUCUUUCUCUUUUAAUUUCCUCCUUAAAAUUCCAUAUAUAUUUGAGGGUCCGAAUAGUGCCGUAACUAGGCAGGUGCAACAGGUGCACCCGCACAGAGCCCACUUGAAAGGGGCCCAAAAUGCAUGCUUUUGUUUUAUUA